GCAACAAAUUUAUUUAUUGU
rnacentral:misc_RNA from 1 species